GACAGAGGGUGCAAACGUUGUUCGGAAUUACUGGGCGUAAAGCGCGCGUAGGCGGUUACGCAAGUCGGUUGUGAAAAUCCGGGGCUCAACCCCGGACCUGCAUCCGAUACUGCUCAACUCGAAGGCAGGAGAGGGAAGUGGAAUUCCCGGUGUAGUGGUGAAAUGCGUAGAUAUCGGGAGGAACACCAGUGGCGAAGGCGACUUCCUGGCCUGUUCUUGACGCUGAGGCGCGAAAGCUAGGGUAGCAAACGGG
rnacentral:rRNA from 1 species